GCUUCCGUCGGUAGAGGACAUCGGAUUAUCGUGGAGCACGAUGACUGGGACGAGCAGUUUGAGGAGGAAGAGCCCUUCCAACCGUCAAAGAAUUUGACAGAACAAUCCGGUCUUGUCAUUGAGCCGUAUGCCGACCUGCCACAGGCCUGCUACGACUUGGAAGAACCUGCUAUAUCAUCGGAUUUCAACCUAUCCGACAUCGCUGCCGAACUCGAGACGCACCCUGUCCUUGGACGUGAUGCCGACUGACCUGCGAAGUGGUCGUUCGCGUCUCCCGCCCGCAUUUAACGCUCCGUUGCCGAAAUCAGUGCCACCGAGUACCCAUUAAACAAACGCUGGACCUACAGCAUUGCGGAGGACCUUUAGUUGACGGUUUUUUAAUGGCCAGUGUACAUAUUUCAGUUCAUUCUUUAUUCAUUUGUGUGACUUGAAAUUUGGUUUAGUCACAAUUCAGUAUCUUCUUUGGUAAACGUUGUGUCGGGCGGUAAGAUACGUUCAGUCUUCUUCAUUUGUUCACAGCGUAGUCUUACUGUCGAAGUUUUGCUAAGCUGUUGGAGUUCUAUUGUCUGUUUUCCAAAAUAAACCGUGGAAACGUGGCCUAUCGAUCUGUUAACUCUAAAAAUUUUAAACAAGAGGUGUCAGAAAAUUUACCACAGGGAUAACUGGCUUUUGGCGGCCAAGCGUUCGUAGCGACGUCGCUUUUUGAUCCUUCGAUGUCGGCUCUUUCUAUCAUUGCGAUGCAACUGUCGCUCGCUAAUAGGGAACGUGAGCUGGGUUUAGACCGUCGUGAAACAAAUUAGUUUUAUCCUAUUGAUGACUGGUUGUUGCAAUGGUAAUCCUGCUAAGUACGAGAGGAACCGCAGGUUCGGACAUUUGGCACACGUGCUUGGUCGAGCGGCCAAUGGUGCGAAGCUACCAUCCGUGGGACUAUGACUGAACACCUCUAUAUCAGCAUCCCGUCCAGUUCUGCAACGAUACCUUGGCGCCUCCUUGUUGUUCGGCAAAAACACGCUUAGCUUCACCGCAGAGCCGUGCUAUGCCACACUGAUGGAGCCUUGCGCCGAACUAGCGAUGUAACUACGCUAGCUCGGCCGGCUUCUGGUCACACACCAGAUAAACGUGAAGGCGAGAAAUCGUCGGUAGACGACCUAAGUACCGGUCGGGGUAUCUGUUGAGACUCAUCCUUUGACCGGAAGAUUUGUCCGCAUUAGACGGACACGUCUUCCGGUUUUAAAGCUUUUUCUAUUACCCUUAUUACUGUUCAUUUUUCAAAUAAUACCUUUUAAUCUCUUAUUACUGUUCAUAUUUCAAAUAAUACCCUUUUAUUCUCUUAUUACUGUUCAUAUUUCAAAUAAUACCCUUUUAUUCACUUUGCUUUAAAAACCCAAUAAAAACCCAAUUAAAUAUUUGGGCUCUUCUUUGAGUUUCAGCAUCUCUAUUAGGAGAGAAAUGUCUGAGCAGCAAUCACCAAAAUGUGAAGCAAUUGCUUCAAGGUUCAUCGGACUGGGGGAUACCGAUGUGGGUAUUGCAAGAUUCGUCUUGUGCCCAGUGCUGCCGAAAUAACUGUCAUCGAGACGGUGGGAGUAAUUAUGACUCUCUUAAGGUAGCCAAGGUAGCUAAAUGUGGGGGACUGUGCUCUGGUCGGUGCCGCGAGAUGCUGCACCGGGUGCGGACCAGUGCCCGGGCCUGACAGUGAACGGUAAGGGCUGUGUCCUACCGAGGCGUGUUCUCGGAUGCGGCUUCGUUCGGCGCAUUACAGCCGACUCAGAACUGGCAUGGACCAGGGGAUUCCGACUGUCUUAUUGAAACAAAGCAGUGUCACGGCUGGUGAUCGGUGUUGACACAAUGUGAUUUCUGCCCAGUGCUCUGAAUGUCAAAGUGAAGAAAUUCAACCAAGCGCGGGUAAACGGCGGGAGUAACUAUGACUCUCUUAAGGUAGCCAAAUGACUCGUCAUCUAAUUAGUGACGCGCAUGAAUGGAUCGACGAGACUCCCACUGUCCCUAUCUACUGUCUAGCGAAACCACAGCCAAGGGAACGGGCUUGGCAGAAUUAGCGGGGAAAGAAGACCCUGUUGAGCUUGACUUUAUUCUGACACGGUGAGGAGACAUGAGAGGUGUAGCAUAAGUGGGAGCCAGCAAUGGCGCCAGUGAAAUACCACUACUUUCAUCGUUUCUUUACUAAUUCAGUAAUGGUUGCUUCGGCAGCUUCACUUCUCGCCCUAAACCUUUCAUUCGGCAUUGGCGAUCCGUUCUGAUAACAGUGUCAGGCGGGGAAUUUGACUGGGGCGGUACAUCUGUCAAACGGUAACGCAGGUGUCCUAAGGCAAGCUCAGUAAGGACAGAAACCUCGCGUAGAGCAAAAGGGCAGACGUUUGCUUGAUUACGAUUUUCAGUACGAAUACAGACCGUGAAAGCGAGGCUAAUCG
rnacentral:rRNA from 1 species